GACGAACGCUGGCGGCGUGCUUAACACAUGCAAGUCGAACGGAAAGGCCCUGCUUUUGUGGGGUGCUCGAGUGGCGAACGGGUGAGUAACACGUGAGUAACCUGCCCUUGACUUUGGGAUAACUUCAGGAAACUGGGGCUAAUACCGGAUAGGAGCUCCUGCUGCAUGGUGGGGGUUGGAAAGUUUCGGCGGUUGGGGAUGGACUCGCGGCUUAUCAGCUUGUUGGUGGGGUAGUGGCUUACCAAGGCUUUGACGGGUAGCCGGCCUGAGAGGGUGACCGGCGACAUUGGGACUGAGAUACGGCCCAGACGCCUACGGGAGGCAGAAGUGGGGAAUAUUGCACAAUGGGCGGAAGCCUGAUGCAGCAACGCCGCGUGCGGGAUGACGGCCUGCGGGUUGUAAACCGCUUUCGCCUGUGACGAAGCGUGAGUGACGGUAAUGGGUAAAGAAGCACCGGCUAACUACGUG
rnacentral:rRNA from 1 species